UCGAGAAUUUUUCACAAUGGGGGAAACCCUGAUGGAGCGACGCCGCGUGGGGGAUGAAUGGCUUCGGCCCGUAAACCCCUGUCAUUCGCGAUCAAUGCGUGUUGUUUAAGAGAUGACAUGUUGAUAGUAGCGGAAGAGGAAGGGACGGCUAACUCUGUGCCAGCAGCCGCGGUAAUACAGAGGUCCCGAGCGUUGUUCGGAUUCACUGGGCGUAAAGGGUGCGUAGGUGGUGAGGUAAGUCGGAUGUGAAAGCUCGGAGCUCAACUCCGAAAUGGCAUUGGAAACUACCUUGCUAGAGGUUUGGAAGGGGGACUGGAAUGCUUGGUGUAGCAGUGAAAUGCGUAGAUAUCAAGCGGAACACCAGUGGCGAAGGCGAGUCCCUGGACAACACCUGACACUGAGGCACGAAAGCUAGGGGAGCAAACAGG
rnacentral:rRNA from 1 species